CCGCUCUCAGAGUCACACCUGGAGUGUUCCCAAUACUCUACCAGUCUUGACUACAGGAGGAAGAGUCAGGCAGAGGCAUAUCCAUUCUAUUCCUAGCUUGGACAGUGGCUAGUGAGAGGAAGGCAAUCUGCUACAAGU